rnacentral:rRNA from 1 species
UACAGAGGGUGCGAGCGUUAAUCGGAAUUACUGGGCGUAAAGCGUGCGCAGGCGGUUUGUUAAGUCCGUUGUGAAAGCCCCGAGCUCAACUUGGGAAUUGCAGUGGAUACUGGCAGGCUGGAGUACGGUAGAGGAAGGUGGAAUUCCCGGUGUAGCAGUGAAAUGCGUAGAUAUCGUAAGGAAGACCAGUGGCGAAGGCGGAUCUCUGGACAGUUACUGACACUGAGGCACGAAGGCCAGGGGAGCAAACGGG